rnacentral:rRNA from 1 species
GAUGAACGCUGGCGGCGUGCCUAAUACAUGCAAGUCGAGCGAACGGACGAGAAGCUUGCUUUUCUGAUGUUAGCGGCGGACGGGUGAGUAACACGUGGAUAACCUACCUAUAAGACUGGGAUAACUUCGGGAAACCGGAGCUAAUACCGGAUAAUAUUUUGAACCGCAUGGUUCAAAAGUGAAAGACGGUCUUGCUGUCACUUAUAGAUGGAUCCGCGCUGCAUUAGCUAGUUGGUAAGGUAACGGCUUGCCAAGGCAACGAUGCAUAGCCGACCUGAGAGGGUGAUCGGCCACACUGGAACUGAGACACGGUCCAGACUCCUACGGGAGGCAGCAGUAGGGAAUCUUCCGCAAUGGGCGAAAGCCUGACGGAGCAACGCCGCGUGAGUGAUGGAGGUCUUCGGAUCGUAAAACUCUGUUAUUAGGGAAGAACAUAUGUGUAAGUAACUGUGCACAUCUUGACGGUACCUAAUCAGAAAGCCACGGCUAACUACGUG